CUUACAGAGUUUAUUGGCAUUCUGUCCACCUCCAAUCUGCAGAAACUACAAGUUGUUUUACUUUCUGGAGGUGGGCAUACUGCCAACUGAGCUCUGUUGG
rnacentral:pre_miRNA from 11 species